rnacentral:rRNA from 1 species
AAAUCUAGCACCUUCGGUGUUCGAGUUGUAAUUUGAAGAUGGUAACCUUGGGUUUGGCUCUUGUCUAUGUUCCUUGGAACAGGACGUCAUAGAGGGUGAGAAUCCCGUCUGAUGAGAUGCCCAUUCCUAUGUAAGGUGCUAUCGAAGAGUCGAGUUGUUUGGGAAUGCAGCUCUAAGUGGGUGGUAAAUUCCAUCUAAAGCUAAAUAUUGGCGAGAGACCGAUAGCGAACAAGUACAGUGAUGGAAAGAUGAAAAGAACUUUGAAAAGAGAGUGAAAAAGUACGUGAAAUUGUUGAAAGGGAAGGGCAUUAGAUCAGACUUGGUGUUUUACGAUUAUCUUCUCUUCUUGAGUUGUGCACUCGUAUUUCACUGGGCCAGCAUCGAUUCGGAUGGCAAGAUAAUGGCAGUUGAAUGUGGCUUCACUUCGGUGGAGUGUUAUAGCUUCUGCUGAUAUUGCCUGUCUGGAUCGAGGGCUGCGUCUUUUGACUAGGAUGCUGGCGUAAUGAUCUAAUGCCGCCCGUCUG